rnacentral:rRNA from 1 species
AACCUGCGGAGGGAUCAUUACCGAGUUUACAACUCCCAAACCCAAUGUGAACGUUACCAAACUGUUGCCUCGGCGGGAUCUCUGCCCCGGGUGCGUCGCAGCCCCGGACCAAGGCGCCCGCCGGAGGACCAACCAAAACUCUUAUUGUAUACCCCCUCGCGGGUUUUUUUAUAAUCUGAGCCUUCUCGGCGCCUCUCGUAGGCGUUUCGAAAAUGAAUCAAAACUUUCAACAACGGAUCUCUUGGUUCUGGCAUCGAUGAAGAACGCAGCGAAAUGCGAUAAGUAAUGUGAAUUGCAGAAUUCAGUGAAUCAUCGAAUCUUUGAACGCACAUUGCGCCCGCCAGUAUUCUGGCGGGCAUGCCUGUCCGAGCGUCAUUUCAACCCUCGAACCCCUCCGGGGGGUCGGCGUUGGGGAUCGGCCCUGCCUUGGCGGUGGCCGUCUCCGAAAUACAGUGGCGGUCUCGCCGCAGCCUCUCCUGCGCAGUAGUUUGCACACUCGCAUCGGGAGCGCGGCGCGUCCACAGCCGUUAAACACCCAACUUCUGAAAUGUGACCUCGAUC